CCUACGGGAGGCAGCAGUAGGGAAUAUUGCACAAUGGGGGAAACCCUGAUGCAGCGACGCCGCGUGAGUGAUGAAGGCCUUCGGGUCGUAAAGCUCUGUCGUAUGGGACUAACACAAUGAAGGUACCAUGCAAGAAAGGAUCGGCUAACUUCGUGCCAGCAGCCGCGGUAAGACGAGGGAUCCUAGCGUUGUUCGGAAUCAUUGGGCGUAAAGCGGGUGUAGGCGGUCUUAUAAGUCAGGUGUGAAAGCCCAGGGCUCAACCCUGGAAGUGCACUGGAUACUGUAAGACUUGAGUGUGGUAGAGGCUACUGGAAUUCCUGGUGUAGUGGUAAAAUACGUAGAUAUCAGGAGGAAUACCGGAGGCGAAGGCGAGUAGCUGGGCCAACACUGACGCUGAGAUCCGAAAGCGUGGGGAUCAAACAGGAUUAGAUACCCGGGUAGUC
rnacentral:rRNA from 1 species